UCGCGCCUGAGUGGCGAGUGGCGAACGGGUGAGUAAUACAUCGGAACGUGCCCUGUAGUGGGGGAUAACUAGUCGAAAGAUUAGCUAAUACCGCAUACGACCUGAGGGUGAAAGCGGGGGACCGCAAGGCCUCGCGCUACAGGAGCGGCCGAUGUCUGAUUAGCUAGUUGGUGGGGUAAGAGCCUACCAAGGCGACGAUCAGUAGCUGGUCUGAGAGGACGAUCAGCCACACUGGGACUGAGACACGGCCCAGACUCCUACGGGAGGCAGCAGUGGGGAAUUUUGGACAAUGGGGGCAACCCUGAUCCAGCAAUGCCGCGUGUGUGAAGAAGGCCUUCGGGUUGUAAAGCACUUUUGUCCGGAAAGAAAUGGCUCUGGUUAAUACCUGGGGUCGAUGACGGUACCGGAAGAAUAAGCACCGGCUAACUACGUGCCAGCAGCCGCGGUAAUACGUAGGGUGCGAGCGUUAAUCGGAAUUACUGGGCGUAAAGCGUGCGCAGGCGGUUUUGUAAGACAGGCGUGAAAUCCCCGAGCUCAACUUGGGAAUGGCGCUUGUGACUGCAAGGCUAGAGUAUGUCAGAGGGGGGUAGAAUUCCACGUGUAGCAGUGAAAUGCGUAGAGAUGUGGAGGAAUACCGAUGGCGAAGGCAGCCCCCUGGGACGUCACUGACGCUCAUGCACGAAAGCGUGGGGGAGCAAACAGGAUUAGAUACCCUGGGUAGUCCACGCCCUAAACGAUGUCCAACUAGUUGUUGGGGAUUCAUUUCUUUCAGUAACGUAGCUCACGCGUGAAGUUGACCGCCUGCGGGAGUACGGUCGCAAGAUUAAAACUCAAAGGAAUUGACGGGCACCCGCACAAGCGGUGGAUGAUGUGAAUUAAUUCGAUGCAACGCGAAGAAACCUUAUCUAACCCUUGACAUGCCACUAAACGAAAGCAGAGAUGCAUCAAGGUGCCCGAAAGGGAAAGGUGA
rnacentral:rRNA from 1 species